CCUANGGGAGGCAGCAGUGGGGAAUAUUGGACAAUGGGGGCAACCCUGAUCCAGCCAUGCCGCGUGUGUGAAGAAGGCCUUCGGGUUGUAAAGCACUUUUGUUGGGGAAGAAAAGCACUGGGCUAAUACCCUGGUGUCAUGACGGUACCCAAAGAAUAAGCACCGGCUAACUUCGUGCCAGCAGCCGCGGUAAUACGAAGGGUGCAAGCGUUACUCGGAAUUACUGGGCGUAAAGCGUGCGUAGGCGGUUUGUUAAGUCUGUCGUGAAAGCCCCGGGCUCAACCUGGGAAUGGCGAUGGAAACUGGCGAGCUAGAGUACGGUAGAGGAGAGUGGAAUUCCCGGUGUAGCAGUGAAAUGCGUAGAGAUCGGGAGGAACAUCAGUUGCGAAGGCGGCUCUCUGGACCAGUACUGACGCUGAGGCACGAAAGCGUGGGGAGCAAACAGGAUUAGAUACCCCANUANUC
rnacentral:rRNA from 1 species